GCAUCCGGUGCAUCACCAAGCCAAGGAGUGUUUCCCAACAUAGACAAGCAAUGUCUGGACGUUACCGUUACUGAAGGCGCAUCACAACAUCUGGGGAGACAGUGGUCCUGGCGGAAGUCGUCUUGGUGAAUCCUCGUGGCUGGAUUUCAGCAACUUCUGGAGAUUCCAUUCCAUAACUGGAUGUCCGUAUAUAAGUCGGCUCUACAAAUAAUACAUUUGAGAAGAAAUGUCUGGACGCCAUAAGGGAGGAGAGGAGCUGGGUAUGGAGGUGUAAAGCGUCACCGUCACUGACAAUAUCGUGAUUCGUGACAACACCAAGUGCAUCGUCAAGGAGGACAGGUUGAACACUUAAGCUGUGAGUCAGAUGAUGCGUGCAUACGUUCCGGCCCAGCCCUGCUUCUGUACCUGUAUUGGAGGGAGGAAGCCAUGAAUUCCUGAUCAACAACAGCUGCAAUGUUGAUGGUGGAAAUUAUCCUGGUAUAUUGUCCGACGCCAUCUCCACGGUGACGUCCAGAAAGAUCGGUGCUCGUGUGUGCACCCUGCGAUCUGAGUGAUGCCAGUAGGGCGCGCUAGGACAUUUUGUAAAUGGAGGCUCCUUUUGCCCUCAGGGCUAAAACCCGUUUCUGUGGUGUACAGACCUGGUGUGUGGCUGAUUCUGUGACUGUGUCGAUGGCCGGGAUGGUAGUCGGUCAAUUAUUUCAAAUUCUGUUCUUUGCAAAACAGGGUUUUCCCUGGUUCACCAUCUGUUGUCAUUUCUGUUUUAUGUCAUGGUCAGUGGUUGUCGGGGACCUAGACCAUUACAUAAUCUGCCUAGUGUUGUUUUCUUGGGUCCCGAACCAAGAGAACGGCACAGGCCAGAAAGGAAGGCAGGUUGUUGAAAAGCCUUUUUUAUAUUAGUAUUUUAGUCGUUUAGAAAGGCUAGACGUCUUGGUAUCAAUGCAGUCACACAACCGAAUCAAUAUAAACAGAGUGCAAAGUGUACGAUUUUACAGUUAUCAUGUAUAUCACGAUGUUAGAUACAUAUAGUUAAGCUUACUUACGUUAGCUGUUAGGUAUAGUUUUCUCCAUAUUUCUGAGCGAAAGUCUAGUCUUUUUUGGAAAGAGGCUUGGAGAUGUUUAGUGUUGUUUAGACGCUUUUUGUUAGCGGCCUCUGUUUCCAGUACAAGGGUGGCUGACGCUGGAUUGUACUUUUUGUGUGUUUCACUUUUUUUAUUGUCGUAGAAAAGUUGUCUACAUGUUAGAAUUCAGUAAAUGUCAACAUUGUCCGUUUAUUGUGUAGAGGUUGUAGCCCUUUAAAUCAGUUGUUUGGAAAUUUCCCUAGUAACUGAGGCUAAGGCUGGCGCUGACCCUGACACAGGACAGACACAUAUACACACACACACACUAACAGACUAAGUCCACCAAACACACACUUGUACAACAUUUUUGACGGACACUAAUAAUCAGCUCAAAUGCCUUAGCCUUGGACUGAAAAAAUUCUAUGAUUCUUUUAAGUACAAAGGCCCCACGCUACCUCUAUCCCAUGUACGGACAAUGUCAAUAUUUACUGAUUUUAGCUUUUUAUCCACUAUGUCCUAGAGUAAUGGUAAUUGUUAACCUAAAUAGGUUAGAUGUUAAGUUCAUUUUUGAUGCUAGAGUAUCUUUAUUUAUUAUGCGG